rnacentral:rRNA from 1 species
CUACGUGCCAGCAGCCGCGGUAAUACGUAGGUCCCGAGCGUUGUCCGGAUUUAUUGGGCGUAAAGCGAGCGCAGGCGGUUAGAUAAGUCUGAAGUUAAAGGCUGUGGCUUAACCAUAGUACGCUUUGGAAACUGUUUAACUUGAGUGCAAGAGGGGAGAGUGGAAUUCCAUGUGUAGCGGUGAAAUGCGUAGAUAUAUGGAGGAACACCGGUGGCGAAAGCGGCUCUCUGGCUUGUAACUGACGCUGAGGCUCGAAAGCGUGGGGAGCAAACAGGAUUAGAUACCCUGGUAGUCCACGCCGUAAACGAUGAGUGCUAGGUGUUAGACCCUUUCCGGGGUUUAGUGCCGUAGCUAACGCAUUAAGCACUCCGCCUGGGGAGUACGACCGCAAGGUUGAAACUCAAAGGAAUUGACGGGGGCCCGCACAAGCGGUGGAGCAUGUGGUUUAAUUCGAAGAUACGCGGAGAACCUUACCCACUCUUGACAUCCUUUGCAAAGCUAUAGAGAUA